rnacentral:tRNA from 1 species
CUGAGGAUGUCGCUCAAUGUUAGAGUGCUUGCCUAGCAUGUGUGAGCUCCUAGGUUCAACCCCUAGUACUGAGA